GACGAACCGUGCGAACGUUGUUCGGAAUCACUGGCUUAAAGGGCGCGUAGGCGGCUCGGCCAGUCCGGGGUGAAAGCCCCAGCUCAACUGGGGAAGUGCCUUGGAUACUGCCGGGCUCGAGCGAGAUAGGGUCGGUGGGAACUUCCGGUGGAGCGGUGAAAUGCGUUGAUAUCGGAAGGAACGCCGGUGGCGAAAGCGCACGACUGGAUCUCUUCUGACGCUGAGGCGCGAAGCGUGGGAGCGAACAGG
rnacentral:rRNA from 1 species